CGUGUAGGCGGUUUUGCAAGUCAGAUGUGAAAGCCCCGGGCUCAACCCGGGAAGUGCAUUUGAAACUGCUGAACUAGAGUAUGGGAGAGGAGAGUGGAAUUCCCAGUGUAGAGGUGAAAUUCGUAGAUAUUGGGAGGAACACCCGUGGCGAAGGCGACUCUCUGGACCAAUACUGACGCUGAGACGCGAAAGCGUGGGGAGCAAACA
rnacentral:rRNA from 1 species